AUCGAACGGUAAAAACAGGAAGGCCAUAGACACUCUCGAUUGUAUAAAUUUAGAGAGACAGUGGUAUAGGAACAGUAUCAGAGGAGUUCUGUACACGGUCAAUUCGCACUGCGCUGUGACACGAAAAUGGGAAAACUUAUGCUGACUUUGGUUUUCAUUGCCUGUAUCGCCUACGGACACAGCCUUCCUUACUCCUUGAUUGGAGAAAACGCACGCUCAGCAGAGAGAAUUAAACAGAAAUUAUUUCCAGAGAUCGCAGAAAUGAGCGACGCAGCUGAUAUUAAGGGAAGAGGGGAGAAAAGGAGUCAUAUAUGUAAACCACCUUACUGUCAAACGCACGGCAGCCCGCCCGAUUGGCUUACAGAGAAGGGAGAUGCGAUUGACGCAGCCAAUGCAAAGAGAGGGGCGGACUAUGAUGAUCUUGGAAAUCAGUAAUCCUUAGAGUCGAGUCUCUUAUAGAGUUAACAGCCAAAGAUUGACAAUAAGAGAGAGGAAAUAUGCAAAGAGGCCCUCGACUGUUGUUAAUGUAAACUAAAUUAUUGUUAAACUGAAUGUUGCAUGGUCCCAUUAAUUAAACGUGUAUCAGCUGCUAAUAAAUGUAAAACAAUUGUGAUGUG